GUCAUCGAACAAAUCAUGGGGUUUUUCGUUUCUAUGAAUUUCUAAGUAAAUUUCAAGCGUUCGUCAGUCUACUUAGAAAUAAUUGAAUUGCAUCGCCACUUUCAGAUUCACUUAUAUUAAGUAAUGUAAAACUCAUUUGCAUAUGCUAUAACCGAUACAAAUAUACAAAACAAGAGAUGCAAAACACCUUUUUAUUGUAGUGAAUUAUUCAAUGCAUUAAAAAACAAAACAAUAAUUAUCGAUAUUAAGAGGCAUGUAAGUUGAUGAGAUUCCCCUUAGUAUCAAUAUAUUGACGCGAGGUUUGGAAGGAUUAGGC
rnacentral:lncRNA from 1 species